UACGGAGGGUGCAAGCGUUAAUCGGAAUUACUGGGCGUAAAGCGCACGCAGGCGGUCUGUUAAGUCAGAUGUGAAAUCCCCGGGCUUAACCUGGGGAGCUGCAUUCGAAACUGUCUUGCUAGAGUAUGGGAGAGGGAGGUGAAUUUCAGGUGUAGCGGUGAAAUGCGUAGAUAUCUGAAGGAACAUCAGUGGCGAAAGCGACCUCCUGGACCAAUACUGACGCUCAGGUGCGAAAGCGUGGGGAGCAAACAGG
rnacentral:rRNA from 1 species